rnacentral:rRNA from 1 species
CCUACGGGUGGCUGCAGUGGGGAAUAUUGGACAAUGGGCGAAAGCCUGAUCCAGCCAUGCCGCGUGUGUGAAGAAGGUCUUCGGAUUGUAAAGCACUUUAAGUUGGGAGGAAGGGUUGUAGAUUAAUACUCUGCAAUUUUGACGUUACCGACAGAAUAAGCACCGGUAACUCCUUUGCAACAGGCCCCGUAAUUCAAGGGGGGCCAAGGUUAAUCCGAAUUUAUGGGCGUAAAGCGCGCGUAGGUGGUUUGUUAAGUUGGAUGUGAAAUCCCCGGGCUCAACCUGGGAACUGCAUUCAAAACUGACUGACUAGAGUAUGGUAGAGGGUGGUGGAAUUUCCUGUGUAGCGGUGAAAUGCGUAGAUAUAGGAAGGAACACCAGUGGCGAAGGCGACCACCUGGACUAAUACUGACACUGAGGUGCGAAAGCGUGGGGAGCAAACAGGAUUAGAUACCCUAGUAGUC